ensembl:lncRNA
GUUCUAUUAAAUAUGCUCAGGUGCUUAGCAACAUCAGUGCAAUCCUCCCAGCAUCCCCGCCCUCUCCAUGGCAACACGCUGGCGGCAUGUUAAAAUUCAGAGAAACAAAAGUUUCCAAAUGGUUUCUGAAAAGCACAAGUCAGCUGGAAGGAGCCAACUAGGAAAGGCUCCAAUGCCAAGGGAUCCUCUGCCUUGGCAACAAGAGGAUAUGGGAAGCAAAUCCUGGCUGCUAAUGCGGGCAGCAUGGAGCGCAAACACAGGGGCAGCCAUGCUGCAGGCACACUGGCCUUUCCAUGGCAAGGAUGGAUGGAUAGAUGACUCAGACUAGUGGUCCAUCAAGGUCAGUAUGAAGAACCUCAGACUUGAAGGCCAAUCUGGCUCUUACCCAGUGGCUAAGCUGCAUGCUCCAGGUGGAGAGCAGAUGGGGGCUUGACUGGCGCGCAUCCCAGGUGGGGUGUGGUGCGCUGCCCACAGGGCCGUGGCGCCCAGUGUGGUGGGGUGUGUGCGGUGCAUGUCUGGGGGGGUGGCCGCGGUGGUACCCCCCUCCCCGAUGGUUCCCCCCGCCCCCCGUUCCUCUGCCAGUGCCCUUACCUGGCCCUUCGAGUCUCGCCCGGCCACAGGCUUCCUGACCCCCUCACAUCACCAGCUCUGCUUUGUACCCUCAAGUGUUUUUGUCUAGCUAGAACAGCGGUUCUCAAAGGGUGUGGUGUGCCACACUUGUGCGGCAGGAGAGGAUGACAAGUGUGACAGAAAGAUUCCAGGACAAUCACAGAAGCAUUUCAGUAUAGUAUGGCAUGGCAUGGCAUGGCAUUAGUGUGUGUGUGUGUGUGUGUGUGUGUGUGUCAGAAUAUGGUAGAUACUCAAGAGCACUGGCUAUUCUUCUCCAUUUCUCCAUGAUUUUCAAGUCUGACAAAUACAAAAGAUCGGAAAGGAGAAAGGCUUCUUUGUGUUGAUGAGAAGAUAAGAGUUUGUCUCAAAUUAGACUGAAUAUAAAUGAGAUUACCCAGGAAAAGCAAGCUCACAUUUCUCAUUGAGUUUGUAUACAUACCGGUACUUAUGGUACAUAUGUAAGAGGCUCGUUUAUAAUUAUAUUUUGGGGAUGAUUCAUGUUCUUACAUAGCUGCAUUGUUUUAUACUUUCUGGGCCCAAACCUAAUUGAAAUGAGACACUUCCUCUCAUGUCCUACAAGUGGUUUCAUGUAUUUGAGAAAGCCUGCACUUCCCAGGGUGAAAGGUAUGGCAGAAUGGACUAUUGUGAGGUGGUAGCAAGAAAAGUUUAUUAUUAUCCUCCAGAGGGAAUUCCAAAGUUUGAAGUAAAGGGGGAACUAAAGUUUUGACAAGAUAAGGCAUAAUAAGGCAAAGGUGACAAAAACUUUGGAUGGAGCGGAAGGUUUUGCUGUUGCUUCCCAUUCAAAUUGACAGAUGAACUAGAAUACACAAGAAUAGAACAUUUGAACAAAUUCCUGGGACUAAAGUUCGGCUCUGUUUGAUUCCUCUUUCCCCUUAGCUCAGAGAGACAGGAAACGGUCCCCCUUAGCUGAAAGGCAGAUCCAUUUGGUUCCUCCUCUCCCUGAGCUGUUUGUGUCCAGGCCAGAUGUUACAAGAACUUCACUCUGGGUUCACCCACACCUC